CUCAGCCAGGAAACCCUGCCCCCUUCUCUCUCCCCCGCCCGUCGCACAACCCAAUCCACCUCCUCCCCCGUGCGCUUCAAUCUCGAGGAAAGCCGCCGCGUCCCGCGACCGGCGGUGCCAUCGCGUGCAAUCGUCGCCCGGGAGAACCCAAUCGACCGCCAGCGCCCCUCUGGUCAGGCAGCAACCAGCCAGGACCUCGCCAGCCGCCAGCGCCCCUCCGGCCGGCGGGAUGGAAGCUGCAGCGGAACAAGGCGAUGGCGCAGCCUGGCGCCCGGCGGCGGGAUGCGCCGCUGGUUCGCGAGCGUAUCGGCUUCCUCGACCGGUCCUCCUGGCGGCGGGGGCGGUUGGGGAACGCCGAUGGAGAAGGGUUGGAGGCCGGAGCGGAAGAAGGGAACAGCACGGCGAGAUCCAGGCGGCGGGACGCGCCUCUGCUUAUCGAGCGUCUCGGAUUCCUUGACUGAUCCUCUUGGUGGCGUGGGGGAGUAGACCGGACCCUCCUCCUCUUCGGCGUCGCGUUGAGGACCCUAAUCCGCGGAGGAUGGCUGCCCAAGCCAUGUGAGCCGACCAGUGCGGCAGGCCGUGGUGAGCAAGACGCCUCUCCCCAGCCGGCUGGGUCAGGUAAAGGGGAGAUGCAUUUACAUAUCUGCUUUACUUGCUGCAGCCCGUUCAAGUUCUUUUAUCUGAAUAAAGGAUCACAUGAUAGUCCGGGUUCAGACUUCAUCGCAUAAUCUCAAUCAACUUUUGGCCAGAUGGUGUUGUGUAUCGAGUAACAACAGCUAGAACGAUAGAGUAGGAGGGGGAUCAACUUUCGUUGGUGAUCUCCACACAAAUGUAACAUCAAGUUAAUUUUAUUCACUAUGCUGGGAGUGUUUUGAAGCACAAGCUGGAGCAGACAGUUGGUGUUAAUUUCCACAAUGUUUAAUUUUAUCUCACUUGGUUUUAAUGCACCUUUAUCUUGACACCAUUGUCUUAUUAGAGAGCAUAAGUCAUUUGCCCUGAUAUCUGUCAUUAACUAAAUGCCAAUCUUCUUCCUGUCAACAUAUGUACUCUCCCAUCACUUUGGUCAUCCAUAUCUCUUUCCUCCCUCACCCUAGAUCUCUCCCGAUGUACUACUACCACAAACAAUUCUCUGACUAUAUUCACUUCAUGGGAAUGCCACUGCCUACGAGUGGGAGUCCAAUUAUAUUGCCUCAGCUCACAGUCUGAUUUUUAUUGUGUGUUUGUGUGCAUUUGGAAGUGGAUGGAAAUGAAGUUUUGAUUCUGAAUCUCGUAGUUGUUGUACCACAUUUUUUAUUCUGAAUCUCAGCAAAUUCUCCCUGAUUUUUAGAUUUCCUCCCUGUUUUGCUACGCUCUACAAUAUGGGUUCAUCUGUAUUCUGUGAUUGAAUAGGGUCAACAGAUCGGUCUGGUGCUAAAUGCUUGAUAUGGAACUAAAUAAACACCUUGUGGGUAAAGUCACAGUUAAUAGUUCAGAUGCCAGCCCAGAACUGAGGAGCAGCAGGGACGAGCGCGGCUGCAGCGAUUGACGCCGUGAAGGCGUACAGCAGGGACGAGCGCAUCCUCGACGCUACAGCGAUUGACGCCGUGAAGGCGUACGCCGGCGUGGACUAGCAAGGCUGCUGCGCAUCAGAUGGCGUUGAGGAAUGAUUUGAGCUCCUCCACAUUGGGUCCAAGGAAUAUUGAAGAUCUCAGGAGCUUGCACGUAUGUCAGAUUUGAGAUGGAAAGAAGCCCUCAGAGUACAUUAAUUCAUCACUGAGUUCGGGAUUUUGAAUGUCACAUGUUAUCGUGAAAUUUAGAUGUCACACAUUAUCAUGGACUCGGCUGCGGUCGAGCCCAAGCGCACCCGUGCGGACCGGGAGCUCUAUCUAGGUGGUGAUGCAUGUGUCGCCCUGUCUUGUACCCAGGGGAGUGUCCAUGGGUGUGUGUUGGAGGAUGCAUUGCCCCCUUCGGCGAACCGUGAAUUAACACCACCACAGCACCGCCAGGCUGCUCCCGGCCAUUCGACAAGCUAGGGCGAUAUUACAGGUUAUGAAAUUUGGUCCUCCAGUGAUUUUAUGCUUCACGGUUGUUUCUAUGGCUUUGAUUGUGGAUAAAUUUAUAUGAUGUACUGCUUUGCAAUGCAGAAGCUUUGGUUGUCCAGUGAUUGGUCUAUCGUCUAAUUGAAGCACAUGGUGGCAUAUUUGGGCUUGGUUUACCAUUAUUAGGAGUUCCGCUUCAUCACCUAUAAUAUCAGAAUUCCUCGGUUCCAUGUUUCAAGGUGUCAACAAGCAGAGGUAUUAACUGCGCUGGCAGAUGAUAAUGCUUUAAUGGAAGUAGAAGCGUCCAUUAGUGCAGCUCGGUUCAUUGGAUCCACAUUGACACAAUGAUGCGAGAACACGUUUCUUUCUUGGAAUGGAAAAUCUACAUGUACUUCGCAAAGGUAGGUGUGUAUUCCAGCAAGAGAUAGAUCAACAGAGAAAAUUUAGAUUAGAAUGGGUUGAGUAGAUUUCUAUUGUUAAUCUUAUAGCAUUUGAUGCUUGCUCUUGGGAUUUUCUGAAGAACAAUAUGCAGUGGCAGGAGCAUUCAGAAAAACCAGCUAUAUCAGGGCCAUCAUAGAAUCUUCGGGCUACAAGCAAGGGAUGCUAUGUAAGCUGGAAGAUGGCCUAAAUGUGCUAUAUUUUCUAACAGUAUGGAGAGUUGUGGCAAGUGGAGUAGACAAGCUGAUAUUCACUAGAAUUUCCCUGGAAACCCAAUGUUUAGUAAUGGUGGGGCGGAAAGGAUUCAUGCUAAUUGGACUGUUCCCUUUAUUGUUUUUCAAGCAUGGUGUUUGAGGUCUGAAGUUUUCUUUCCAAGAUUGUACGAGUGGUUGAAAUUGCUAAAGGUUAAUGAGAAGCAACUACUAGAGAUAGAAUGACUAAUGAAAAAUUCAGCUGAUGGAGGAUGGUGUUAGUACUGACAGGUGCUGAGGCUGAAAAGAUAAUUUUAAAAAAAGGGUGUAUGAUAUACAAAUAUCAGGCUUCAAAGUUGGAAACGAAUUGUCAAAUUGGAAUGAAAUAUACAUUGUUUUACAUCAUACAAA